GAUGAACGCUGGCGGCGUGCCUAAUACAUGCAAGUCGAGCGAACGGACGAGAAGCUUGCUUCUCUGAUGUUAGCGGCGGACGGGUGAGUAACACGUGGAUAACCUACCUAUAAGACUGGGAUAACUUCGGGAAACCGGAGCUAAUACCGGAUGACAUUUUGAACCGCAUGGUUCAAAAGUGAAAGACGGUCUUGCUGUCACUUAUAGAUGGAUCCGCGCUGCAUUAGCUAGUUGGUAAGGUAACGGCUUACCAAGGCAACGAUGCAUAGCCGACCUGAGAGGGUGAUCGGCCACACUGGAACUGAGACACGGUCCAGACUCCUACGGGAGGCAGCAGUAGGGAAUCUUCCGCAAUGGGCGAAAGCCUGACGGAGCAACGCCGCGUGAGUGAUGAAGGUCUUCGGAUCGUAAAACUCUGCUAUUAGGGAAGAACAUAUGUGUAAGUAACUGUGCACAUCUUGACGGUACCUAAUCAGAAAGCCACGGCUAACUACGUG
rnacentral:rRNA from 1 species